rnacentral:lncRNA from 1 species
UGAUAGUAGUCAUGAAUUACCUCGGGUGAAAACAUAAUCCAUUUGCCCCUAACCCAUGUCUGAUGUAAGUGCUCCGAUCCGGGAGUGUCGAUUUCUGUGUUGAAGUUUGCAUAAAACUCCUUUGCUAGAUUCUCAUACACCGGAUGAGGUCUUUCUAUUACCUUUUCCCAGCCACAGUUGUGAAUAAGAUAUGAUAUUUCAAAGUUGGGGAAAUCUUCUAGCCUAACUGGCCUCUCGGGAAUGAUUGCCCAAUUACGCACAACAUUGGCAUAACGGGCAGCUGCAUCUGAUGAAAGGAAUCUUCGAACACCCCCUUCGGGUUCUCUUGUUCGUGCCGUUCC